rnacentral:rRNA from 1 species
GUGAGGAAUAUUGGUCAAUGGGCGGGAGCCUGAACCAGCCAAGUCGCGUGAAGGAAGAAGGAUCUAUGGUUCGUAAACUUCUUUUGCAGGGGAAUAAAGUGCAGGACGUGUCCUGUUUUGUAUGUACCCUGAGAAUAAGGAUCGGCUAACUCCGUGCCAGCAGCCGCGGUAAUACGGAGGAUCCGAGCGUUAUCCGGAUGUAUUGGGUUUAUAGGGUGCGUAGGUGGUUUGAUAAGUCAGCGGUGAAAGUUUGCAGCUUAACUGUAAAAAUGCCGUUGAAACUGUCGGACUUGAGUGUAAAUGAGGUAGGCGGAAUGCGUGGUGUAGCGGUGAAAUGCAUAGAUAUCACGCAGAACUCCGAUUGCGAAGGCAGCUUACUAAGCUACAACUGACACUGAAGCACGAAAGCGUGGGGAUCAAACAGGAUUAGAUACCCUGGUAGUCC